rnacentral:rRNA from 1 species
GGGUUGUGAGGUUAAGCGACUAAGCGUACACGGUGGAUGCCCUGGCAGUCAGAGGCGAUGAAGGACGUGCUAAUCUGCGAUAAGCGUCGGUAAGGUGAUAUGAACCGUUAUAACCGGCGAUUUCCGAAUGGGGAAACCCAGUGUGUUUCGACACACUAUCAUUAACUGAAUCCAUAGGUUAAUGAGGCGAACCGGGGGAACUGAAACAUCUAAGUACCCCGAGGAAAAGAAAUCAACCGAGAUUCCCCCAGUAGCGGCGAGCGAACGGGGAGCAGCCCAGAGCCUGAAUCAGUGUGUGUGUUAGUGGAAGCGUCUGGAAAGGCGCGCGAUACAGGGUGACAGCCCCGUACACAAAAAUGCACAUGCUGUGAGCUCGAUGAGUAGGGCGGGACACGUGGUAUCCUGUCUGAAUAUGGGGGGACCAUCCUCCAAGGCUAAAUACUCCUGACUGACCGAUAGUGAACCAGUACCGUGAGGGAAAGGCGAAAAGAACCCCGGCGAGGGGAGUGAAAAAGAACCUGAAACCGUGUACGUACAAGCAGUGGGAGCCUCUUUUAUGGGGUGACUGCGUACCUUUUGUAUAAUGGGUCAGCGACUUAUAUUCUGUAGCAAGGUUAACCGAAUAGGGGAGCCGAAGGGAAACCGAGUCUUAACUGGGCGUUAAGUUGCAGGGUAUAGACCCGAAACCCGGUGAUCUAGCCAUGGGCAGGUUGAAGGUUGGGUAACACUAACUGGAGGACCGAACCGACUAAUGUUGAAAAAUUAGCGGAUGACUUGUGGCUGGGGGUGAAAGGCCAAUCAAACCGGGAGAUAGCUGGUUCUCCCCGAAAGCUAUUUAGGUAGCGCCUCGUGAAUUCAUCUCCGGGGGUAGAGCACUGUUUCGGCAAGGGGGUCAUCCCGACUUACCAACCCGAUGCAAACUGCGAAUACCGGAGAAUGUUAUCACGGGAGACACACGGCGGGUGCUAACGUCCGUCGUGAAGAGGGAAACAACCCAGACCGCCAGCUAAGGUCCCAAAGUCAUGGUUAAGUGGGAAACGAUGUGGGAAGGCCCAGACAGCCAGGAUGUUGGCUUAGAAGCAGCCAUCAUUUAAAGAAAGCGUAAUAGCUCACUGGUCGAGUCGGCCUGCGCGGAAGAUGUAACGGGGCUAAACCAUGCACCGAAGCUGCGGCAGCGACGCUUAUGCGUUGUUGGGUAGGGGAGCGUUCUGUAAGCCUGCGAAGGUGUACUGUGAGGUAUGCUGGAGGUAUCAGAAGUGCGAAUGCUGACAUAAGUAACGAUAAAGCGGGUGAAAAGCCCGCUCGCCGGAAGACCAAGGGUUCCUGUCCAACGUUAAUCGGGGCAGGGUGAGUCGACCCCUAAGGCGAGGCCGAAAGGCGUAGUCGAUGGGAAACAGGUUAAUAUUCCUGUACUUGGUGUUACUGCGAAGGGGGGACGGAGAAGGCUAUGUUGGCCGGGCGACGGUUGUCCCGGUUUAAGCGUGUAGGCUGGUUUUCCAGGCAAAUCCGGAAAAUCAAGGCUGAGGCGUGAUGACGAGGCACUACGGUGCUGAAGCAACAAAUGCCCUGCUUCCAGGAAAAGCCUCUAAGCAUCAGGUAACAUCAAAUCGUACCCCAAACCGACACAGGUGGUCAGGUAGAGAAUACCAAGGCGCUUGAGAGAACUCGGGUGAAGGAACUAGGCAAAAUGGUGCCGUAACUUCGGGAGAAGGCACGCUGAUAUGUAGGUGAAGUCCCUCGCGGAUGGAGCUGAAAUCAGUCGAAGAUACCAGCUGGCUGCAACUGUUUAUUAAAAACACAGCACUGUGCAAACACGAAAGUGGACGUAUACGGUGUGACGCCUGCCCGGUGCCGGAAGGUUAAUUGAUGGGGUUAGCGCAAGCGAAGCUCUUGAUCGAAGCCCCGGUAAACGGCGGCCGUAACUAUAACGGUCCUAAGGUAGCGAAAUUCCUUGUCGGGUAAGUUCCGACCUGCACGAAUGGCGUAAUGAUGGCCAGGCUGUCUCCACCCGAGACUCAGUGAAAUUGAACUCGCUGUGAAGAUGCAGUGUACCCGCGGCAAGACGGAAAGACCCCGUGAACCUUUACUAUAGCUUGACACUGAACAUUGAGCCUUGAUGUGUAGGAUAGGUGGGAGGCUUUGAAGUGUGGACGCCAGUCUGCAUGGAGCCGACCUUGAAAUACCACCCUUUAAUGUUUGAUGUUCUAACGUGGACCCGUGAUCCGGGUUGCGGACAGUGUCUGGUGGGUAGUUUGACUGGGGCGGUCUCCUCCUAAAGAGUAACGGAGGAGCACGAAGGUUGGCUAAUCCUGGUCGGACAUCAGGAGGUUAGUGCAAUGGCAUAAGCCAGCUUGACUGCGAGCGUGACGGCGCGAGCAGGUGCGAAAGCAGGUCAUAGUGAUCCGGUGGUUCUGAAUGGAAGGGCCAUCGCUCAACGGAUAAAAGGUACUCCGGGGAUAACAGGCUGAUACCGCCCAAGAGUUCAUAUCGACGGCGGUGUUUGGCACCUCGAUGUCGGCUCAUCACAUCCUGGGGCUGAAGUAGGUCCCAAGGGUAUGGCUGUUCGCCAUUUAAAGUGGUACGCGAGCUGGGUUUAGAACGUCGUGAGACAGUUCGGUCCCUAUCUGCCGUGGGCGCUGGAGAACUGAGGGGGGCUGCUCCUAGUACGAGAGGACCGGAGUGGACGCAUCACUGGUGUUCGGGUUGUCAUGCCAAUGGCACUGCCCGGUAGCUAAAUGCGGAAGAGAUAAGUGCUGAAAGCAUCUAAGCACGAAACUUGCCCCGAGAUGAGUUCUCCCUGACUCCUUGAGAGUCCUGAAGGAACGUUGAAGACGACGACGUUGAUAGGCCGGGUGUGUAAGCGCAGCGAUGCGUUGAGCUAACCGGUACUAAUGAACCGUGAGGCUUAACCUUACAACGCCGAAG